rnacentral:rRNA from 1 species
GUGUCAGCAGCCGCGGUAAUACGUAGGGUGCAAGCGUUAUCCGGAUUUAUUGGGCGUAAAGAGCUCGUAGGCGGUUCGUCGCGUCUGGUGUGAAAGUCCAUCGCUUAACGGUGGAUCGGCGCCGGGUACGGGCGGACUGGAGUGCGGUAGGGGAGACUGGAAUUCCCGGUGUAACGGUGGAAUGUGUAGAUAUAUGGAAGAACACCAGUGGCGAAGGCGGCUCUCUGGUCUGUUACUGACGCUGAGGCUCGAAAGCAUGGGUAGCGAACAGGAUUAGAUACCCUGGUAGUCCAUGCCGUAAACGAUGAGUGCUAAGUGUUGGGAGGUUUCCGCCUCUCAGUGCUGCAGCUAACGCAUUAAGCACUCCGCCUGGGGAGUACGACCGCAAGGUUGAAACUUAAAUGAAUUGACGG